UUUGCUGCUUCCAUGAGACCUCCUAUGUUUGAGGGUAUCCACUAUAAGAGGUGGCGCGUGAGAGCAGUCUUAUGGUUUCAAACCAUGAGUUGCUAUGACGCCACACUUGGCAAACCUGAAGGAGAGCUUGAUGCUCAACAAGCACAAGCUUUUCAGAAAAUGGAUACUCUGUUUAAGGCUGCUCUCUUGAGUGUUCUUGGAGAGAACAUAGUUGAUGCUUAUGCGUCAAUUGAUAAUGGAAAAGAUAUGUGGGAUGCACUCGAGGCCAAGUUUGGGGUCUCGGAUGCUGGCACUGAGCUGUACAUCAUGGAGCAAUUCUAUGAUUACAGGAUGACUGAAGAGCGCUCCGUGGUUGAGCAAGCUCAUGAGAUACAGUCGUUUGCUAGAGAACUU
rnacentral:rRNA from 1 species